ensembl:lncRNA
AAAACAGAUCACUUCAAACCACAACUGCAAUACAGUCGAUAGAUAAUAAUCCUACAGCUGCAGAGAAUAAAACAGUACACUUGGUUAAGUGGAAACUGGUAGUGCAGAAUUGAAUGGAAUGUUUUUUAGGUGAGUAAUUCUAUGAAUGUAGAAUAGAACAGAGGCAGUAAGUACAUUUACAAUAACACAUUACUUUCACUUCUAAUUCCAAGAAAUCAUGUGGUCCAGUGGAAGGACUGAGGUGGUGAAGUGCUCUAGAGCCGGAUACUGUGAAAGACUAGAGCAAAAAAAGUGCAUGUUUAGAAUGUGAUAUAGCCUCAUGCUGCUGUACACAGUUUGCACUGUAGAGAAAUAUAUUUUAUCUUCAUGGUUUGCACACUGGUUGUAGUUCUCCUAUCCUGAAUGUAUCUAUCUAAAAAAACAUUUGUCUGUUUAUUCACUUCCUUUAGAUCCAUGUUGGAACACAGAGUGGCACACAAGAUGAAAUACUACACAGUUGAGACUGGCAAUACUUUGGAUUCUCACAUUCAGUUUAUGAGACGACUCAACAACACCACAAGGUGUUUUACGGAAGUCAAGUCUCCAGAGGAGAGUGAUGUCAUCAUGGCUUUCUGUCCCAUCGUCUCUCGCGCCGGGACUGAUAUUGAUGCAGCACUGCAACAGAUUCCAAAGGGUAAAGAUGUCAUUCUGGUAGUGCUGCAUCACACCUUCAACCCAGACGACACUGUACCUUACAGCAGCAGACUAGUGACCAGAAGUGAUGUAAUACUCACAGUGGACUGUCUGUUCCAUGAGAGACUGGGAGGACUACUGGACUGUCCUCGCAAUGAUGCAGCAGUCAGAAAUAUUAGGCAGAAGUUUGACACAGUGGACUGUCUGUUCCAUGAGAGCCAGGGACUACUGGACUGUCCUCGCAAUGAUGCAGCAGUCAGAAAUAUUAGGCAGAAGUUUGACAUAGAUCCUAUGGCCAGAAAUUGUGACUGUCUAGCUUGGAUUCUAAACGCUGCCAUGGGGUUACUGUCUUUAUGCCGCAACUGCCCUUGUAUGGUGUUUUCUUACAUGAUGGGGCUCAUCUCAGGCAAAAAUCCAUGUCCCUUUGCAAGACCUCAUUCCAGAAAUGAAGACUAUUUACAUUUGGCCCAACUAUGAACAUGUGAUAAUAUAUAGUGUGACUCCUGUAAACGUGAUGAUCAAUUCCCUUAGAGAACAAAUGUUAUGGAUUACAUCUUUAAUUGCAUGUCAUUUAGGCCUACUUGAGAAAGUACAGAUAAUUUACAGUGGUAAUGUAUGGAAUUAGGCCUGGCUGUAUCAAUGUAACAAUAAUAUGGAAAUAAAAAAGAAACUGGAUUUGUGGAAG